ACCGGCCAGCACUUCUACUUUUCCACCGCCCUUCGUAUCCAAUCACAGAAACCUUCCCACCACUUCUUUUUCCUUCUACUAAAACGCCAUUUAUACCCUUUUCCUUCCACCGUCUAUCUAUAGCGAGCAUCGGUCAACUUUCUUCCGCUCGACCUCUUCGUCACCGCUUCCGCCUAUUGUUUCCGAUCAGAAGUCGUCGUGACAACCACCGACGCUGGUCACUACUUUGUGUUCUACAUCCACCGAGCAUCCAGUAUAUAUAUAUAUAUAUAUAUAUAUAUAUAUAUAUAUAUAUAUAUAUAUAUAUAUAUAUAUAUAUAUAUAUAUACACACACACACACAAAAAAGGCUUCAAUUCCUGGAUACUUGGCACUAAACAAAAAGAAAGACGAGAAAAAACAGUAGUAGAAGGGACGAUAUCAGAAUCUUCACUCUCAUCGGUAUCGAUCGGACCUUUCAACGGUAACAGUGGUUUGUUUUGCUCUUCCGUUCUGUUAUAAGUGCCAUAUUUUCAUAUUUAAGCCGAAUCUUCUGUUCUCCGCUUGCACCUUCUGUUGGUUUAAGACGAAUCAUCCUUGAUUUUCUUUAAAGUUUUCAAUUUCUAGUCGGUUAAAAUCGAGUUUGAAAUUUUAAGUUCGGUUUUUUAACUACCCUAAGCUUCCUUCUUUUGCACAAGUUUAAAAUUAAUGUUUAAGGAAGCCUCAUAUUUAGUAAAGGUAUGUUUUUUCACAAGUUGAUUAUGUUGCUCAAAAUUGUACGUAACCUGUUUGAUGAAAUGCCUCAAUCAGGCAUAGGGUUUUAUUUUGAGAAACAAGAACCUUUGAAAGCAUUGAUGGUAUUUUUUUGUGAUUCUUCUUUAGUAUUUAAGGAGAUAAACAAUCUGUUGAUGUGACUGAGAAGAAUAUGGAUCGAGACUACUUUAUGACACCACAAGACGCCAAAGAGUUUGGUUUCAUUGAUGAAGUCGUUGAUGAAAGACCAUUAACUUUGGUGACUGGUGGUAUUAGAAGUGAAGGAAAAGGAAAAGUUUCAGAGUACAAUAUGAAUGGGUUCUUGAUGUCUUUAGUUGUAACUUUCAACGGCUCUUUCAUUUCCGAUUCUUGCGGUUUUCAAUGGUUGCUUCAAUUGGUUUUCUCAAGAUUACUACAAAACUGAAACCAAUCUGAACAAGAGAAAGGUUGGUUUGUUCAUGUUUUAAGGAAUCUGAGAAAGAAAGGUGUUUAUUGAUGGAGACUUUGAGAUCCAAAAUGGUAAAUUUUACACCUCCAUUAGUUACUUGGUUUGUUUUUUUGCUAUCUCAGCUUUUUCAUGACCAAGUGCUCUCUUUUUCAAGACCAAGUGGUCUCUUUUGUUGGUUCAAAGUAUGAAAAUUUUCUGUAAGUUUUGCUAAGAUAUAAUUUAUUUUAGAUUUUCAUUUAUAUCUAAUUUUUAUGUGUAUUAAGUGCUUUACAACGAUAGAUUUUAUGAUUUUCUCAUUGCCAAAGGUACACGAACUUGGAAAAUGAAACAAACAGAUUGAGAAAAGAAUUUGAGAAUUUACAGACACUUUUUUCAUAAAGCAUGCAAACGGAAUUGUACACACAGGUUGUUAUGGAUUUUAAUUAGAGGUGCUGCAGUUCUGCUAUUGGAAGAACUUGACCAUGCUAAGUAUCGGGUUGACCAGAGCAACAAUUUGAGAAGGCAUGAAGACGAGAAAGACCUGAAUGCAUGACAAUUACAUGCAGAAUCUAUGUUGCAUGCAUGGCAACUUAACAAUUUGUGUUAAGUACUUGAUCAAUAACAUUGUUUAUAAUGAAAAUACCCUUUAACCCCCGCAACGCGGGGGAAAACUUUUCUAGUUUAUCUAUAAAAAUAAUUUAUCCAAGUAUAGAAAAAUAAGAACCUUGUUAUAAAUGUUUUGAAGAUAAGUAAAUAUUACGUGAAUUAAUUGAUAUU